rnacentral:misc_RNA from 1 species
GAUGAAGAACGCAGCGAAAUGCGAUAAGUAGUGUGAAUUGCAGAAUUCAGUGAAUCAUCGAAUCUUUGAACGCACAUUGCGCCCCUCGGUAUUCCGUGGGGCAUGCCUGUUCGAGCGUCAUUUAACCCCUCAAGCCUAGCUUGGUAUUGGGUGCUUGUCUCGCCUCUCGCGCGGCGACUCACCUCAAAGUCAUUGGCAGCCCGCAUCUCGCCGGCCGUGAGCGCAGCACAGACGCGCUCUUGGCAACGACGGAUCGGCUCUCCAAAAGCUUAUUUCAACCACUGACCUCGGAUCAGGUAGGGAUACCCGCUGAACUUAAGCAUAUCAAUAAGCGGAGGA